rnacentral:rRNA from 1 species
GACGAACGCUGGCGGCGUGCUUAACACAUGCAAGUCGAGCGGUAAGGCCCUUUCGGGGGUACACGAGCGGCGAACGGGUGAGUAACACGUGGGUGACCUGCCCUCAGGCUCUGGGAUAAGCCUGGGAAACCGGGUCUAAUACCGGAUAUGACGUCCAUGACGCAUGUUGUGGGGUGGAAAGCCUUGUGCGGCUGAGGAUGGGCCCGC